CUACGGGAGGCAGCAGUGGGGAAUAUUGCACAAUGGGCGAAAGCCUGAUGCAGCCAUGCCGCGUGUGUGAAGAAGGCUCUAGGGUUGUAAAGCACUUUCAGCAGGGAGGAAAGGGUGUAAGCUAAUACCUUGCAUCUGUGACGUUACCUGCAGAAGAAGCACCGGCUAACUCCGUGCCAGCAGCCGCGGUAAUACGGAGGGUGCGAGCGUUAAUCGGAAUUACUGGGCGUAAAGCGCGCGUAGGCGGUCUGUUAAGCUGGAUGUGAAAGCCCAGGGCUCAACCUUGGAACUGCAUUCAGAACUGGCAGGCUAGAGUAUUGGAGAGGUGAGUGGAAUUUCCCGUGUAGCAGUGAAAUGCGUAGAUAUGGGAAGGAACACCAGUGGCGAAGGCGACUCACUGGCCAAAUACUGACGCUGAGGUGCGAAAGCGUGGGGAGCAAACGGGAUUAGAUACCCCGGUAGUCCACGCCGUAAACGAUGUCUACUAGCCGUUGGCCUCCUUGAGGGGUUAGUGGCGCAGCUAACGCACUAAGUAGACCGCCUGGGGAGUACGGCCGCAAGGUUAAAACUCAAAU
rnacentral:rRNA from 1 species